rnacentral:rRNA from 1 species
UACGUAGGGUGCAAGCGUUAAUCGGAAUUACUGGGCGUAAAGCGUGCGCAGGCGGCUUUGCAAGACAGAUGUGAAAUCCCCCGGGCUCAACCUGGGAACUGCAUUUGUGACUGCAUGGCUAGAGUACGGUAGAGGGGGAUGGAAUUCCGCGUGUAGCAGUGAAAUGCGUAGAUAUGCGGAGGAACACCGAUGGCGAAGGCAAUCCCCUGGACCUGUACUGACGCUCAUGCACGAA